rnacentral:rRNA from 1 species
GACAGAGGGUGCAAACGUUGUUCGGAAUUACUGGGCGUAAAGCGCGUGUAGGCUGCUCAGAAAGUUGGAUGUGAAAGCCCUGGGCUUAACCUAGGAAGUGCAUUCAAAACUACUGAGCUGGAGUCCUGGAGAGGAAGGCGGAAUUCUCGGUGUAGAGGUGAAAUUCGUAGAUAUCGAGAGGAACACCGGUGGCGAAGGCGGCCUUCUGGACAGUGACUGACGCUGAGACGCGAAAGCGUGGGGAGCAAACAGG